AUUGUUCCCUUUGUAUGUUGACUAUGUUUUCUCUCUUCACUGAUGCGUCUAAUGCUGUUUGAUCAGACUUUUCUUUCUAGAUUCAUGAGAGGGUCAGUAAAAUAUAUAUGUACCUUCAGCAUUUUUAUGUGUAUUACCAUUUCUUUCCUGUUGCAUGCGCCUGCCAAUUGAUUAUCUAUGGAGUUGGUUUCCUAUGUGCUAGGGUUCAAUGAGUCUUCUGUUUGUUUAUGUUGUCUUGCAAUUUUUGUGUCUAAUCUUUAUGCACUUCCUGUGUAUACAACAUUCUGAAGAUCUAGCCUUUAUCACCAGGAACAAAGUUGUUAACGUGUCAUUGUUUUUGCUAAUUGAUCAAAUUCAGAACAGGCAAUGCCUCCAAGGGAGUUUGCGCACCAAAGAAAGCGAGGCAGUAGUUCUUCCAUGGAGCACUUCUUCCAUGCCGUUAUCUAGAUAUGUACAUACAGUACGACUAAGGUUUCUUUGGUUCUACUUAUUCUGCAACUGUGAUUAAUGGUAUGGUGCAGUAUGCUAAUAACUGUAAUAUCUCUUCUUUCUCAAGGUAUCUUCUAUAUUCUGCUUGCUUAUCAAGCGAAGUCGACGCUGGAAGGGUAUCAUGCUGACCAUUUAAUUGAAUUUCUCUUACAGAAACCAAUAUUAAUUUAUUCAGAGAACAUCCUUAUUUUUAUUUGUGAGAUAAUUAAAAAAGAUGUUUAUCUUUCCGAGCGACAUUGGACAUCCUAUAAUUUUGAGCACCGCCUCGAAGCAACCAGAAAUAGUUUCUGGUAGACUUUGGUCAAUGUAUCCUGGCCUGCAUGCUUUGGUGGUUACGAAAACAGCCACCUUUUGUUUCGCAUCAAUGAGACCAAUAUCUUUCUCCUUUCGGAGAACUCCGAGCAAGCUAUAUAUAAACUUUAGUCUUCCCCUGCUGCUUCUAUGGUGAAAAGUACUGUACUGUGUAAUGUAGUCUAUCAUCUUUAGAUUAUAUUGUUCUCUUUGUAGUGAAAAGCGGUUUAUCACCGCUUAUUGUAUAUAUAUGUGAAGAACUCUUCUGCUACUGUUUCCUGAAAACUAUGACUCAAGAAACAAGCUUCCUUUUAUGCAUGCUUUUGCUUCAAUGCUUUCAUCAGAGCUUCCCCCUGAUCACGUCUUCCGAUCACAGUGUAUGUAAUAAAUUAAAAGCAAUUACAUUCCUGUUU
rnacentral:lncRNA from 1 species